ACAGAUUUACCAGAAUCCCAUAUUUCCCCAUCAUCUGCAUGUUGUUGAUUUAGUUCCUGUCUUGAUCGCUUUUGCAUCCUACAGAAAAGAUGCAGAUAAACCCCGCCCGGAAAUAUGGAGAGCCACAGUGCAGCAUUUCACAUUGAAGCUCACCAGAGAAAUCAGUCAUGUUGUGUUUGCCCUGUGAACGCUUCUCUGAAUUUUCAUUUCCAUGGCUAUAUCUCAAGAGACAAUCAGAAAGUUGAACAAGCAGGAUUUGUGGGACAUAAUCACUGGAGCAGCUUUAUUUUUGUCUGACUCAGACCACUUAAGAUUCAUUGAGUGGAAGGCAUUCUUCCAGUGUCGCUAGUUGAAAGUUCAGCCAUUCUCAGAAUUUUCUGAUCUCUCUAAGCACUGUAAUCGCUUAAAAAUUUCACAAAUAAAUUUAGUGACUUAAUUCAAAUGUUUCAGUCUCUGGGGGGAACAACUUGGCACUCCAUUUAAGGGCGCAGUCUGG
rnacentral:lncRNA from 1 species